AACGUAGGAGACAAACGUUAUCCGGAGUUACUGGGCGUAAAGGGCGUGUAGGUGGUAAUGUAAGUCUGGCGUGAAAUUUUUCGGCUUAACCGGGAAAGGUCGUCGGAGACUGCAUAACUAGAGGACGGUAGAGGCGUGUGGAAUUCCGGGUGUAGUGGUGAAAUGCGUAGAGAUCCGGAGGAGCACCAGUGGCGAAGGCGACACGCUGGGCCGUACCUGACACUGAGGCGCGAUAGCAUGGGGAGCAAACAGG
rnacentral:rRNA from 1 species